AGUGAACGCUGGCGGUAGGCCUAACACAUGCAAGUCGAACGGCAGCACAGUAAGAGCUUGCUCUUACGGGUGGCGAGUGGCGGACGGGUGAGGAAUACAUCGGAAUCUACUUUUUCGUGGGGGAUAACGUAGGGAAACUUACGCUAAUACCGCAUACGACCUACGGGUGAAAGCAGGGGAUCUUCGGACCUUGCGCGAUUGAAUGAGCCGAUGUCGGAUUAGCUAGUUGGCGGGGUAAAGGCCCACCAAGGCGACGAUCCUUAGCUGGUCUGAGAGGAUGAUCAGCCACACUGGAACUGAGACACGGUCCAGACUCCUACGGGAGGCAGCAGUGGGGAAUAUUGGACAAUGGGCGCAAGCCUGAUCCAGCCAUACCGCGUGGGUGAAGAAGGCCUUCGGGUUGUAGAGCCCUUUUGUUGGGAAAGAAAAGCAGCAGGUUAAUACCCCGCUGUUCUGACGGUACCCAAAGAAUAAGCACCGGCUAACUUCGUG
rnacentral:rRNA from 1 species